AUGAAGAACGCAGCGAAAUGCGAUAAGUAAUGUGAAUUGCAGAAUUCAGUGAAUCAUCGAAUCUUUGAACGCACCUUGCGCCCUUUGGCCAUUCCGAAGGGCAUGCCUGUUUGAGUAUCAUGAACACCUCAACUCUUUAUGGUUUUCCAUGAUGAGCUUGGACUCUGGGGGUUUUGCUGGCUCACAGUCGGCUCCUCUAAAAUGAAUCAGCUUACCAGUGUUUGGUGGGUAUCAUGGGUGUGAUAACUAUCUACGCUUGUGGUUUUUCCACCAGGUAACCUUCAGCAGUGGAGGUUCGCUGGAGCUCAUAGAUGUCUCUCCUCAGUGAGGACAGCCCUUUGAAUGUUUGAUCUCAAAUCAGGUAGGACUACCCGCUGAACUUAAGCAUAUCAUAAGCGGAGGA
rnacentral:misc_RNA from 1 species